rnacentral:misc_RNA from 1 species
UGGAGUUUUCUAGCUCAAGUUAUGGCUAUUGCACCAUAACUGAUCGGAUUGCCUUUACCCAGAAUUUCUGGGCAAUUUUUGGUUCUGCCAGAUUUGGUAGUCCAACUUUGGCUAGCAAUUUCAUUUAGUUAAGUCCAAAAUUUGAGUUUGUAUUCUGCAUGAAAGUUGUUCCAAAUUGCCUCAGCUUUCCAUUGAUAUAAAUUUCAGGUCAAUUAGACCUUUCUACACUGAGUUAUGACACUAUUCAUUUGGUCAUUUUGCCAAGGCAGAAUGUGUUUUACUCGGAUUUGGUCAAUUUUUAGGACAUCCUAAGUUUAUUUUCUGAACAGAGUUCUUUCACCAAAAUUGUGCCAUUAUAUGUCUAAUUUCAUGUCCAAUUAGCCUUGCACCAAUUGAACCUGCACAACCCAAGUUAUAGCUGCCCAAACAUCCUGGACUCACAUCCAGACCUACGGGGCACUCAAGGCAGCACACCCAACCUCAAAUCCAAAGCUACAAUUCAUUUCAAUUCCUCAUUAUACUCAGCCAAAUGGUCACUAAUUGACCGUUAGAACUUUUAUUCACCAACACAUGAUCAAAAUCCAAAUUUUGUGCCCCAAACCCUAGCUCUAACAAUCUCAAUUCUCUAUAUUUAUACAAUCCAUGAAUUAAAACACCAAAAUCACGUUCAAUGGCAGCCAUACACAAGUAUUAUACAAUCAAGUUGAUGAAAUCCUAUGGUACCCUAAGGUUGCCAAAAUUUAAUGGGGCAAGUUCAUACAUCCUUAAUUCAUUUUUUCAUCAAAUUUUUAACUUAACUCAACUUAGAUUCAUGCUUAGAAAAGAAUGGAAGCAAGAAAAUUAGCACUAACCCUGUUGGAGCUACUCU